UCCAGGGUAUAAGGAUAAUUCAGAGAUCCUAUGGAGAAACACAUGUGUUGUGCUUGCUAUGCCUGCAAUUUCCAUCAACUGUAUGUCUGUUUGAUUGUCAUCUGUCUUCUCUAUUAGAUGAUUUGAAACCAAG